rnacentral:rRNA from 1 species
AGCAGCCGCGGUAAUUCCAGCUCCAAUAGCGUAUAUUAAAGUUGUUGCAGUUAAAAAGCUCGUAGUUGAAUUUCGGGAUCAAAUUGUCGGUCGUGCCUCGGUACGUACUGGUAUUAUUGGUUCCUCCCUUCUGAAGAACCACGAUGUCAUUAAUUUGGUGUCAUGGGAAAUCAGGACUGUUACUUUGAAAAAAUUAGAGUGUUUAAAGCAGGCUCGCGCUUGAAUACAUAAGCAUGGAAUAAUGAAAUAGGACGUUUGAUUCUAUUUUGUUGGUUUCUAGGAUCGACGUAAUGAUUAAUAGGGAUAGUUGGGGGCAUUAGUAUUCAAUUGUCAGGGGGUGAAAUUCUUGGAUUUAUUGAAGACUAACUACUGCGAAAGCAUUUGCCAAGGAUGUUUUCAUUAAUCAAGAACGAAAGUUAGGGGAUCGAAGACGAUCAGAUACCGUCGUAGUCUUAACCAUAAACUAUGCCGACUAGGGGUCGGAUGAUGUUAAUUUUUAUGUACUCUAUUCGGCGUCCUU